rnacentral:lncRNA from 1 species
AAAAGAAUGAAAUGGGUCAAGUGUUUGAACCGGCCCAAAACAAAAGAAAUCCUUACCAUUUAUUUCCUUUCAUUUAUUUGCCCCCAAAUAGAGAAAACCCUCAGAGGCAAAAACAACCGUUCGAGGACAAUCGAAGCUGCACGCCUCUAUCCUGACCUUAUUAAGAAGCCCGCGCUUAAUGUAGUGAUUAGCCGUCUGUCAAUCGGAUGGUGGGUAAAAUUUAUUUUGUAGCUGCAAGAGAGAAGCUGUGUAUAGCAAGACCGUCAGUCGUCGAUGUCAUCAGCUCCAGCGAAAUCGUGAGCAAAUAUUAUGUAAAUAUGAUAUUCGUUCAUUGCUUGCUACAGUGGUCGUCUAAUUUCAGUUUCAAUUAAUGCAACCCGAAUAUAUUCUUGCAUUUUGUUUUGGCGAUUAUUGUGAAUUAACUAUUUUGAAUCCCCUUUUUCUUUUUUCUCAGAUCCAUGUUUAAAAUAGAAAGAUUGAUUUUUUAUUUUUUUUUGGAAUUCUUUGUUUCUUUCAUAAUUAUAUACUGCAACAUUUAAUUUGAUGAUUUGCAUGGUUUUAUGAAUUAUUUCUAAGAAUCUAUGAGUGUUCAAUUUGGUGAUUUAUCAUUUUGAUUUAAUUUACAAGGGAAGCAAUUUUUUCCCUUUUGCAAGUUUCCGCAUUGUUUCAAUCCCAUUGUAUUUCCCUUUUUAAGAUUUAUUGGUGGUAACAAUUCCAAGGUUUGUGGGUGGUUGUGGGAUUUUGAUCAGAACUUCAAUUCAAAUAAUGGGUAUGAGAAUUUUUAUCUGAACUUCAAGUCAAAUAAUGUGUAUGGGAAUUUCGAUGAAGACGGAUCUAUCAUAUUGAUUUAAUUUACAAGGGAAGCAAUUUUUUUUCCUUUUGCAAUUUUUUUUAUUUUUUCUUGGUAGGAAAAAAUCUCACCGUCAUCCCGACUGUAUCGAAUAUUUUUUAAAAUUCAUCCGAUUUUGACAGUGCUCAUUAGUACUUUAGAUGUAAUUACGAAAGAGUAAGUAAUGUUUUGAAUUAGUAGAAAUUUUUGUCUAACACUGUUGGAAGGAAAAAAUUGAAUGAAUUAUGAGUUUUGCAAAUUUGUGGAUUUUACAUUGGUGUGUGGUUGUUGUCUAAUAUAGUGCAACCUGUUUUUCGUUUGUAUGCAGUAUGGCAGGAAAGAACUUCGGACGUUGUCAUGGCUGUAGAGAGAAUGGGCACUUCUUGCGGAUUGCCCAAAGAAACAACGAUGCCUCUGGUGUAAAAUUGGAUAUGUGAAGUGCUUUGAGGUUCAGAGGGAGACGAAGAACAAGGGAAGAUUGUUCAAUUGUUGCAAUGCUAACUGUAAAUACUGGGAAUGGUUUGACAAGGGAGAAUCAAGUCUUGGAUCGAGUACUAUGGCCAUUAACUCGAAUAAUCUGCGGCACUUGAAGAAGUCCAGUAGUUCUCUCGCAUGUUCUAGUCCCUUUGUCGGGUAAUCGAAGAGCAAAAUAUUGAGAUUUCUUUGAAUGUGACAAUAAGGAUGGCCAAUAGAAGUGCGGGAGUGGAUAAGAAAGGAAAGGAGCUAGCAUGAUUACUGGCUAUAUUUUCUUAGGAUGCAUCGCUACCACCUUUGAUGUGCAAUAUUUUGUUGUGUUAUGUGGAGUUGAUGUGUAAUAUGUGUCGUGUUGUGUGAAGAAAUCAUUGUAAUGUAGUCACUUUUCAUGUUUUAGUUGCUAUGUGAAUGAUGUUAGUGUUAAUUUUAGUGGACUGCAGUUUGUGUUCUUCAUUACGUUACUGGGAUAGAAUCUAAAAUUGUAAUCGUACGAGUAGUUUUUGUUUAAGAAAAGCGCUAUAUUCAAAGCCUACAAUCAUAUAGUAGAAUUGAUGAUCAACAUAUUCAAAAAAAC